AUUGAACGCUGGCGGCAGGCCUAACACAUGCAAGUCGAGCGGUAGCACAGAGAGCUUGCUCUCGGGUGACGAGCGGCGGACGGGUGAGUAAUGUCUGGGAAACUGCCUGAUGGAGGGGGAUAACUACUGGAAACGGUAGCUAAUACCGCAUAACGUCGCAAGACCAAAGUGGGGGACCUUCGGGCCUCAUGCCAUCAGAUGUGCCCAGAUGGGAUUAGCUAGUAGGUGGGGUAAUGGCUCACCUAGGCGACGAUCCCUAGCUGGUCUGAGAGGAUGACCAGCCACACUGGAACUGAGACACGGUCCACACUCCUACGGGAGGCAGCAGUGGGGAAUAUUGCACAAUGGGCGCAAGCCUGAUGCAGCCAUGCCGCGUGUGUGAAGAAGGCCUUCGGGUUGUAAAGCACUUUCAGCGGGGAGGAAGGCGUUAAGGUUAAUAACCUUGUCGAUUGACGUUACCCGCAGAAGAAGCACCGGCUAACUCCGUGCCAGCAGCCGCGGUAAUACGGAGGGUGCAAGCGUUAAUCGGAAUUACUGGGCGUAAAGCGCACGCAGGCGGUCUGUCAAGUCGGAUGUGAAAUCCCCGGGCUCAACCUGGGAACUGCAUUCGAAACUGGCAGGCUAGAGUCUUGUAGAGGGGGGUAGAAUUCCAGGUGUAGCGGUGAAAUGCGUAGAGAUCUGGAGGAAUACCGGUGGCGAAGGCGGCCCCCUGGACAAAGACUGACGCUCAGGUGCGAAAGCGUGGGGAGCAAACAGGAUUAGAUACCCUGGUAGUCCACGCCGUAAACGAUGUCGAUUUGGAGGUUGUGCCCUUGAGGCGUGGCUUCCGGAGCUAACGCGUUAAAUCGACCGCCUGGGGAGUACGGCCGCAAGGUUAAAACUCAAAUGAAUUGACGGGGGCCCGCACAAGCGGUGGAGCAUGUGGUUUAAUUCGAUGCAACGCGAAGAACCUUACCUGGUCUUGACAUCCACAGAACUUUCCAGAGAUGGAUUGGUGCCUUCGGGAACUGUGAGACAGGUGCUGCAUGGCUGUCGUCAGCUCGUGUUGUGAAAUGUUGGGUUAAGUCCCGCAACGAGCGCAACCCUUAUCCUUUGUUGCCAGCGGUUAGGCCGGGAACUCAAAGGAGACUGCCAGUGAUAAACUGGAGGAAGGUGGGGAUGACGUCAAGUCAUCAUGGCCCUUACGACCAGGGCUACACACGUGCUACAAUGGCAUAUACAAAGAGAAGCGACCUCGCGAGAGCAAGCGGACCUCAUAAAGUAUGUCGUAGUCCGGAUUGGAGUCUGCAACUCGACUCCAUGAAGUCGGAAUCGCUAGUAAUCGUAGAUCAGAAUGCUACGGUGAAUACGUUCCCGGGCCUUGUACACACCGCCCGUCACACCAUGGGAGUGGGUUGCAAAAGAAGUAGGUAGCUUAACCUUCGGGAGGGCGCUUACCACUUUGUGAUUCAUGACUGGGGUGA
rnacentral:rRNA from 1 species